UACCAGCACCCCGAGUGGUCGGGACGUUUAUUGGGCCUAAAGCAUCCGUAGCCGGUUCUACAAGUCUUCCGUUAAAUCCACCUGCUUAACAGAUGGGCUGCGGAAGAUACUAUGGAGCUAGGAGGCGGGAGAGGCAAGCGGUACUCGAUGGGUAGGGGUAAAAUCCGUCGAUCCAUUGAAGACCACCAGUGGCGAAGGCGGCUUGCCAGAACGCGCUCGACGGUGAGGGAUGAAAGCUGGGGGAGCAAACCGG
rnacentral:rRNA from 1 species